UCGACGGCAGCGCGGGGCAACCUGGCGGCGAGUGGCGAACGGCUGAGUAAUAUAUCGGAACGUACCCUGGAGUGGGGGAUAACGUAGCGAAAGUUACGCUAAUACCGCAUACGAUCUAAGGAUGAAAGUGGGGGAUCGCAAGACCUCAUGCUCCUGGAGCGGCCGAUAUCUGAUUAGCUAGUUGGCGGGGUAAAAGCCCACCAAGGCAACGAUCAGUAGCUGGUCUGAGAGGACGACCAGCCACACUGGAACUGAGACACGGUCCAGACUCCUACGGGAGGCAGCAGUGGGGAAUUUUGGACAAUGGGCGCAAGCCUGAUCCAGCAAUGCCGCGUGAGUGAAGAAGGCCUUCGGGUUGUAAAGCUCUUUUGUCAGGGAAGAAACGGUGGGGGCUAAUAUCCCCCGCUAAUGACGGUACCUGAAGAAUAAGCACCGGCUAACUACGUGCCAGCAGCCGCGGUAAUACGUAGGGUGCUAGCGUUAAUCGGAAUUACUGGGCGUAAAGCGUGCGCAGGCGGUUUUGUAAGUCUGUCGUGAAAUCCCCGGGCUCAACCUGGGAAUUGCGAUGGAGACUGCAAGGCUAGAAUCUGGCAGAGGGGGGUAGAAUUCCACGUGUAGCAGUGAAAUGCGUAGAUAUGUGGAGGAACACCGAUGGCGAAGGCAGCCCCCUGGGUCAAGAUUGACGCUCAUGCACGAAAGCGUGGGGAGCAAACAGGAUUAGAUACCCUGGUAGUCCACGCUGUAAACGAUGAAUACUAGGUGUUGGAUACAUUAGUAUCCAGUGCCGCAGCUAACGCA
rnacentral:rRNA from 1 species